UACGAAGGGGGCUAGCGUUGUUCGGAAUUACUGGGCGUAAAGCGCACGUAGGCGGACUAUUAAGUCAGGGGUGAAAUCCCGGGGCUCAACCCCGGAACUGCCUUUGAUACUGGUAGUCUCGAGUCCGGAAGAGGUGAGUGGAAUUCCGAGUGUAGAGGUGAAAUUCGUAGAUAUUCGGAAGAACACCAGUGGCGAAGGCGGCUCACUGGCCCGGUACUGACGCUGAGGUGCGAAAGCGUGGGAGCAAACAGG
rnacentral:rRNA from 1 species